rnacentral:rRNA from 1 species
AACGAACGCUGGCGGCAUGCCUAACACAUGCAAGUCGAACGAUCCCUUCGGGGAUAGUGGCGCACGGGUGCGUAACGCGUGGGAACCUGCCCUUAGGUUCGGAAUAACUCAGAGAAAUUUGAGCUAAUACCGGAUAAUGUCUUCGGACCAAAGAUUUAUCGCCUUUGGAUGGGCCCGCGUUGGAUUAGCUAGUUGGUGGGGUAAAGGCCCACCAAGGCGACGAUCCAUAGCUGGUCUUAGAGGAUGAUCAGCCACACUGGGACUGAGACACGGCCCAGACUCCUACGGGAGGCAGCAGUGGGGAAUAUUGGACAAUGGGCGAAAGCCUGAUCCAGCAAUGCCGCGUGAGUGAUGAAGGCCCUAGGGUUGUAAAGCUCUUUUACCCGGGACGAUAAUGACAGUACCGGGAGAAUAAGCUCCGGCUAACUCCGUGCCAGCAGCCGCGGUAAUACGGAGGGAGCUAGCGUUGUUCGGAUAUACUGGGCGUAAAGCGCACGUAGGCGGCGCCGUAAGUCAGGGGUGAAAUCCCGGAGCUCAACUCCGGAACUGCCCUUGAAACUGCAGUGCUAGAAUCCUGGAGAGGCGAGUGGAAUUCCGAGUGUAGAGGUGAAAUUCGUAGAUAUUCGGAAGAACACCAGUGG